rnacentral:rRNA from 1 species
CCUACGGGGUGCAGCAGUCGAGAAUCAUUCACAAUGGGGGAAACCCUGAUGGUGCGACGCCGCGUGGGGGAAUGAAGGUCUUCGGAUUGUAAACCCCUGUCAUGUGGGAGCAAAUUAAAAAGAUAGUACCACAAGAGGAAGAGACGGCUAACUCUGUGCAAGCAGCCGCGGUAAUCCAGAGGUCUCAAGCGUUGUUCGGAAUCACUGGGCGUAAAGCGUGCGUAGGCUGUUUCGUAAGUCGUGUGUGAAAGGCGCGGGCUCAACCCGCGGACGGCACAUGAUACUGCGAGACUAGAGUAAUGGAGGGGGAACCGGAAUUCUCGGUGUAGCAGUGAAAUGCGUAGAUAUCGAGAGGAACACUCGUGGCGAAGGCGGGUUCCUGGACAUUAACUGACGCUGAGGCACGAAGGCCAGGGGAGCGAAAGGGAUUAGAUACCCGGGUAGUC